rnacentral:rRNA from 1 species
UACGGGGGGGGCAAGCGUUGUUCGGAAUUACUGGGCGUAAAGGGCGUGUAGGUGGCCAACUAAGUCCGACGUGAAAUCCCCCGGCUUAACCUGGGAACUGCGUCUGAUACUGGAAGGCUUGAGUGCGGGAGAGGGAUGUGGAAUUCCAGGUGUAGCGGUGAAAUGCGUAGAUAUCUGGAGGAACACCGGUGGCGAAGGCGGCAUCCUGGACCGACACUGACGCUGAGGCGCGAAAGCUAGGGUAGCAAACGGG